UACGUAGGGUGCAAGCGUUGUCCGGAAUUACUGGGCGUAAAGCGUGCGCAGGCGGUUCGUGAUGUCUGAUGUGAAAGCCCCGGGCUCAACCUGGGAAUUGCAUUGGAAACUAGCGGGCUGGAGUGUGGCAGAGGGGGGUGGAAUUCCACGUGUAGCAGUGAAAUGCGUAGAGAUGUGGAGGAACACCGAUGGCGAAGGCAGCCCCCUGGGCUAACACUGACGCUCAUGCACGAAAGCGUGGGGAGCAAACAGG
rnacentral:rRNA from 1 species